CAUGGGAGAUUCCUCCCUCCAAGGUCCAAUUGUUCCAUAGACUCUCUUCCAUCCGGAUCCGGCCUGGCUUCGCUUAACCAUCUGGAGGUUGAGCGGGGCAUCCUGACCAUGGCUAAGGUGCCACCACCGAUAAUCACAAUGAUUCAAGCCGCCUGUCGACCCUCUACGGUUCACAUAUACGAGGCCACCUGGCGGGCCUUUUCUUCCUGGUGCAAAUCUGUCUUUGUUUCUCCCACAUCGGCUUCCAUCCUUCAUGUACUAUCCUUCCUUCAAAGGGGCCUCGACAAGGGUCUGACUCCCAAUACUCUACGGCAUCAGGUCGCCGCCAUCACAUCGGUCCUCACCUGCGGAUCAAAGGAUUCCAUUUCCCAGCAUCCCAUUAUCAGAAACUUCCUACGAGGCGCCACUAACCUACGGCCUCCUCCCAUCCAUCGGUUUCCUUCCUGGAACCUAAACAAGGUCCUUACCGCACUGAUGUCUCCGCCUUUCGAGCCUCUUCGUUCUGUUUCCCUUCGUUUUCUCUCCCUGAAAGUCUCAUUCCUGGUAGCGAUUACCUCCGCUCGCCGAUUUCAGAGCUAGCGGCGCUUUCCAUCCGUGCGGAUCUCUGUAUUUUUCAUACCGAUAAAGUGAUUCUUCGCCUGGAUCCAGCUUUCUUACCCAAAAUUAAUUCCUCGUUCCAUAGAACACAGGAGCUUGUUCUACCUGACUUUUGCCCGCAUCCCUCGCAUCACCUAGAACGAUUGUGGCAUACCCUCGAUGUUCGCAGGGCUCUAAAGAUUUAUAUUUCCUGAACAGCAACACAUCGCAAGUCGGAGGCCCUGUUUGUAGCUUUCCAUCCUAACUCCAUCGGAUCCCGAGUUUCAGCUUCUACCCUGGGCCGUUGGAUAUGGGCCACUAUCGCCUAGGCCUAUCGGCAUUCAGACUUGGCUCCCCCACGCGGGAUCACGGCCCAUUCGACCAGGAGUGCGGCGACAUCAGCCACCUGGUCGACACAGGCAUCUAUGGAGGAAGUCUGUAGGGCUGCCACCUGGACUUCUAUCAGCCCCUUCAUCAGACAUUACAGAGUGGACUCCUUCGCUUCGUCCGAUGCGGCGUUUGGCAGACGAGUCCUGCAGGCAGUCCACCUUUCCUGAGUUCCACCGGAGCCUUCUUCGCCCUCCCUGGUGACAUCUGGCUUUGGAAGACACGUCCCACGAGUCUGCGCUUUGCCCUCGACGAAGAACUGGGGCAACCGGAAGGAUAGAGCCUUUAUUAAGCAAGACUCGGUCAUACGCUAGACGAGAUGACUGACGCUUUCUACAUGCUGAGAAAGGACGUAUCAGCUAUAUCCUUGGCAGUACGACUCAUAGCAAAUAACAGAAGUUGUUCACUUGAUAUCACAUGCUAAUUUUGGAAGCAGAACCUGAAAUUCAUUUCCUCAGAUGGGCUGUAAGGUCUUCUGUUUUUCUGCUGCCAAUAAUUUAUUUAGCUUACUAUUAUUUUGAUCCAGAAAUAUUUUAAUUAUAUUAAUAAAUAUGUUUUACUAAGACAAAGCCAGAUGGAUGACUUGGGCCAAUCACUUUCUCUCAUCCCUAGGAAGGAGGCAAUGGCAAACCACUUCUGAAAAAAAUUACCAGGUAAACUUCAGGGAUUAAUUCAGAUAAAAAAAAAUUACCUGAAGGCAUAGAACAAUGCAAAACACCCCUGGUAUAGAGAAUGAUUUCUAUUAUGAAUUGUGUGCUUUAUUUAGCUACUCUGUCACAGGCCUCUAUAUUUUUCAGUGACAAUGUAUAUUCCUAUUCCUCAAAGAUGUCUGAUCCUGAACGUAUGAAAAGAAAUUUUAAUCUAUGAAAGUGGAAAAAAAGUUUAAUAAAGCAGUAUUUAGGAGGAAUGCUCCCUCAUUAGUGUAACUAUAACACCACAGAUACCUCAUUUAAUUGGUAUUUAUUAUGAUUGGCAGCUAUAUACUGUAAAUGUACUUUAUUUCUGUUUCUUUAGGAUACAUAUUUCUGUUUCAACACUGAUUCAUCAGGAGUCAGACAAUUAUGUGUCUCUAUCUGUGUGUGUUAUAAAUUCAACUAAAACAAUCUGUUGAUAAAAUUAUUAUCCUCACUCCUAGAAUAAUCAGUUUCAAAGCAUCCAAUUUUCAUGUGAUAUUGUUUCAAAGAGUUAAUCCUUUUAUAUGCUUGGCAAUGAAUCUUAUUUCUACUGAAGGAUUAUAUUGUUCUAUACUUGACUAGCCAUAAUUCUGCAGUUUGAAAUUAUGACUGAGAGUCCUUGUUUGGCUACUUUUAAGUUUAAUGUUAUUAAUUUCAAAAGAUGCAUGACAGAAAUAUAGCAAAGCCAUAUUUGAUUUGACUGAGAUUUAUACUAACUGUUAUAAUCUCACAAGACAAAUAAUAGAACCCAUAUGUUCCAAACAGACUGAAGAUUGCUAAUUAUGUGGGCCUACUUGUUUUGAUAUUUAUUACACCUUAAUUUUUCUCUAUGUAAUCAUACUUUAAAACUACAAGCUAUUGUAAGGGCUCUCAAGUAGCAUGUAAUAUAUUUUAUAAAUAAAGUGAGCUACACUAUUUGCAAGUGAUGCUUGUGAAGUAAACGAAUAGCCCAUUUCAUAUGAAAGACUGGUUAUCUUAGAUAUCUUAUAUUGCCUUGCUAAUUUGCUAAUUUGAAUUUCCUUCAUUGUAUUAAAUAUAUUGAGUUGAAUCUAGAAUUAAUUACAUUCAGAGCUUUUUCAGUGAACAGCACAAGUUAGGAAUGACUUAGUAGGCUAGUUUGGUUAAAUAUGUAUGCUGCUUCAAAAUAAAUGGAAUAUUUUUAAAUCAA